GACGAACGCUGGCGGCAUGCCUAACACAUGCAAGUCGAACGAGACCUUUGGGUCUAGUGGCGCACGGGUGCGUAACGCGUGGGAAUCUGCCCUUGGGUUCGGAAUAACAGUGAGAAAUUGCUGCUAAUACCGGAUGAUGUCUUCGGACCAAAGAUUUAUCGCCCAGGGAUGAGCCCGCGUAGGAUUAGCUAGUUGGUGGGGUAAUGGCCUACCAAGGCGACGAUCCUUAGCUGGUCUGAGAGGAUGAUCAGCCACACUGGGACUGAGACACGGCCCAGACUCCUACGGGAGGCAGCAGUGGGGAAUAUUGGACAAUGGGCGCAAGCCUGAUCCAGCAAUGCCGCGUGAGUGAUGAAGGCCUUAGGGUUGUAAAGCUCUUUUACCAGGGAUGAUAAUGACAGUACCUGGAGAAUAAGCUCCGGCUAACUCCGUG
rnacentral:rRNA from 1 species